rfam:Clostridium tyrobutyricum DIVETGP, WGS project CBXI01000000 data, contig: NODE_4
UACUUAUCAAGAGAGGUGGAGGGACUGGCCCUAUGAAGCCCGACAACCGGCAUUUUCAUUUGAUGUAUCGGUGUUAAUUCCUACGGAAUGAUAUUUCUGAAAGAUAAGAA